UACGGAGGGGGCAAGCGUUGUUCGGAUUUAUUGGGCGUAAAGCGCGUGUAGGCGGCGUAGUAAGUCGGAUGUUAAAGACCCACGGCUCACCCGGGGGAAUGCGUCCGAUACUGCUAUGCUAGAGUGCAGGAGAGGAGAGUGGAAUUCCUGGUGUAGCGGUGAAAUGCGUAGAUAUCAGGAGGAACACCGGUGGCGAAGGCGGCUCUCUGGCCUGUAACUGACGCUGAGACGCGAAAGCGUGGGGAGUGAACGGGAUUAGAUACCCCGGUAAUCCACGCUGUAAACGUUGGAUACUAGGUGUUGGAGGUUUUCUACCCCUUCAGUGCCGUAGCUAACGCAUUAAGUAUCCCGCCUGGGGAGUACGGCCGCAAGGCUGAA
rnacentral:rRNA from 1 species